GUGUCAGCAGCCGCGGUAAUACGUAGGGGGCGAGCGUUGUCCGAAUUUAUUGGGCGUAAAGCGCGUGUAGGCGGCCUUUUAAGUCAGAUGUGAAAUCUUGCGGCUCAACCGCAAAACUGCAUUUGAUACUGGAGGGCUUGAGUUUGGGAGAGGAAAGCGGAAUUCCUGGUGUAGCGGUGAAAUGCAUAGAUAUCAGGAGGAACACCCGUGGCGAAGGCGGCUUUCUGGCCCAACACUGACGCUGAGAUGCGAAAGCUGGGGGAGCAAACGGGAUUAGAUACCCCGGUAGUCCCAGCCGUAAACGAUGGAUACUAGGUGUUAGUGGUAUCGACCCCACUAGUGCCGUAGCUAACGCAUUAAGUAUCCCGCCUGGGGAGUACGGCCGCAAGGUUGAAACUCAAAUGAAUUGGCGGGG
rnacentral:rRNA from 1 species